UAUCACUAAGCGGAGGUAAAAGAAACUAACAAGGAUUCCCUCAGUAGCGGCGAGUGAAGGGGGAAGAGCCCAGCGCUGAAUCCCCGCACCCGUAAUGGAUGCGAGGGAAUUGUGGCGUAAGGAAACUGAAUUCCGGCCGGCGUGUUUGGCGGCAGUCCUCUUAAGUGGGGCACCUUAUUUCCCAUAGCGGGUGUAAGGCCCGUACGGCGGACCGUUUGGUCGGGAGGAUGCUUUCCAAGAGUCGGGUUGUUUUGGAAUGCAGCCCAAAGAGGGGUGGUGAACUCCAUCCAAGGCUCAAUACUUAUGCUCGAGACCGAUAGUCGACAAGUACCGUGAGGGAAACGUUGAAAAGAACUUUGAAGAGAGGGUUCAAUAUUGCGUGAAACUGCCAAGAAGUAAACGGAUGAGUACCACAUGUUACAUGGGGAGCCCGGGAGAUUCAGCUUCGGUCGUUUGCGGCGGCUGGUUGGCUUCGGAUCCGAAAGGACCGAACCGGCUGGCUUGCCGCGCGGCUGGGGCGCACUUCUCUCGCCCGGUUCCCCACCCGGCGAACCGGUUACCCGUCUGGGCUGGAAGCCUUGGUGAGGANGUAUCUCCAGG
rnacentral:rRNA from 1 species